rnacentral:rRNA from 1 species
UUGACCUCGAAUCAGGUAGGACUACCCGCUGAACUUAAGCAUAUCAAUAAGCGGAGGAAAAGAAACUAACAAGGAUUCCCCUAGUAACUGCGAGUGAAGCGGGAAAAGCUCAAAUUUAAAAUCUGGCGGUUUUUGACCGUCCGAGUUGUAAUCUAGAGAAGUGUGUU